AUUGAACGCUGGCGGCAGGCCUAACACAUGCAAGUCGAGCGAGCGGAGGACGGGUGAGAAAUGUAUGGGGAUCUGCCCGAGAGAGGGGGAUAACUACUGGAAACGGUGGCUAAUACCGCAAAGUAGCGGAGGAACACAUAUGGGAUUAGCUAGUAGGUGGGGUAAAGGCUCACCUAGGCGACGCUCUCUAGCUGGUCUGAGAGGAUGAUCAGCCACACUGGGACUGCGACACGGCCCAGACUCCUACGGGAGGCAGCAGUGGGGAAUAUUGCACAAUGGGCGCAAGCCUGAUGCAGCCAUGCCGCGUGUAUGAAGAAGGCCUUAGGGUUGUAAAGUACUUUCAGCGGGGAGGCGUUACCCGCAGAAGAAGCACCGGCUAACUCCGUGCCAGCCGCCGCGGUAAUAC
rnacentral:rRNA from 1 species